AUUGAACGCUGGCGGCAGGCCUAACACAUGCAAGUCGAGCGGAUUAAGGGAGCUGGCUCCUCGGUUCAGCGGCACACGGGUGAGUAAUGCUUACGAAUCUGCCUGCUAGUGGGGAAUAACGUCCAGCAACCGGCGCUAAUACCGCAUACGUCCUGAUGGAGAAAGUGGGGGAUCUUCGGACCUCACGCUAUCAGGUGAGCCGAGGUCGGAGUGGCUCGUUGGUUGGUUAAAGGCCUACCAACCCGACGAGCCGUAACUGGUGUGAGAGGAUGAUCAGUCACACCGCAAUGGAGCAAAGGCACAGACCACACUGGGAGGGAGGAGUGGGGAAUAUUGGACAAUGGGAGAAAGCUUGAUCCAGCCCUGCCGCGUGUGUGAAGAAGGGUUUCGGAUCGUAAAGCACUUUCAGUUGGGAGGAAGGGCAGUACGUUCAUCCCUUGCUGUGUUGACGUUACCCACAGAAUAAGCACCGGCUAACUUCGUG
rnacentral:rRNA from 1 species